rnacentral:lncRNA from 1 species
UGGAACUUCAACAUUUCAGUCAUCCACAUCCUUUGGUCUCCUUCAAAUAUCAGACUGUUGCACGCGAAGAAGUAGACCCAGAAGCAGCUCUUUGCCUUGGGUGUGAGAAACCUGUAGAGGGCUGGAGCUAUGGCUGCAAUCAAUGUGAGUUUUAUCUUCACAAGGGAUGUGCUGAGUUAGACUUAGCCCCCAAGAUUCAGCAUCCCUUCCACCCCGAACACCCUCUCACUCUUCUGCCAAAAUCACCUUAUUCUGGGGGCUUAACCGCGUGCAGUUUUUGUGGUAAGAAUUUUGAGGGAUUUGUUUAUAAUUGUUUUGAUUGUGAGUUCGAUCUGCACAUCAAUUGUGCUUUGCUUCAAUCAUCCAUUGCUACAAAUUUUCCUCAUUCUUUGCACCACCAUCCUUUAGACUUCAUUCAAAACCAUAACGAGGAAGUUGAGCGCGAUUGCUCCGGAUGUCAGAAACCAUUAUCUGGUCCAAUUUACCAUUGUUUAGAUUGUUCUUAUCCUACAUUCUUUACUCUUCAUAAGGAAUGCGUUGAACUACCCCUAGAAAUUAAUCACCCCUGUGACCGUAAGCAUCCCCUUACUCUUUUGCCUCAACGACCUGCACAUCCCGAGAAAUGUAGUUGCUAUUUGUGCAAAAUCCAAUGGAGCGGGUUUGUUUAUUCCUGCUCGCUUUGCAACUUUGAGCUUUCAGUUGAUUAUAUUUUUUCACCACCAACAAUCACCAAUGCAAGCCAUGAACACCCGUGGAUGCUUAUAUCCAAAAAAAUGUCAUUUAUUUGUGAUUUUUGUGGCAUUGUCGGAGAUCACUCUCCCUAUCUUUGUGCUACAUGCAACCUUGCUGUACACAAGAAUUGCAUUUCAUUGCCACGCAACAUCAGGAUAACACGACAUUGUCACGUGAUUUGUUUUUCAUAUUCUUUUCAACAAAAUCAAGUUGAAGAUUGUAUGUGCAGAAUUUGUUUCACGGAAGUUGAUACAAGUUAUGGUAGGUAUUGUUGUUCUGCUUCUGGUUGUGAUUAUAUUGCUCAUGCACAUUGUGCAACCAAUAAAUCAAUUUGGGAUGGAACAAUUAUCAAGGAAGGCUAUGAUGAGAGGCUUGGACCUUCGAAUUUGAUCACUGAUGUUAUUGAACAAAUAAGUAUUGAAGAGAUUAUGGUAGCAAGUAAGAUCAAACAUUCCUACCAUCAUCAUAAUUUAAGACUCACUUUUAGUGGUGAGAUCAAAGAUGAUAGCCAGUGUGAUGGGUGCAUGAGGCCUAUAUCAACUCCUUUUUAUAGUUGUGAGCAAUGCAAGUUCUUUCUCCACAAAGAUUGCGUUGAAUUGCCUAAAGAAAUGCCACACCCAUUUCACAAGCAUUUGCUUACUCUCUCAAACUCCCACGAUGAGAAUGGUUGUUCAUGGUGCACUACUUGCCGUCGUCUGUAUCAAGGAUUUAGGUACAGAUGCUACAAAGGAGAUUGCUACUUCGAAAUUGACAUUCAAUGUAUGUUAUUGUCGGACACCUUGAAGCACCCAAGUCAUGAGCAUUCACUCGUUCUUGUCCACAACGAGGGAACGAGCUGCAGUGCUUGUUUCAAAAAUUUACUAUCAAUGGAUGUUGCAUAUAGAUGCAUGAAGCGCUGUGAUUUUAGUUUAGAUGUAGGUUGUGCAUCACUACCACUCACUGCUUGGUACAAGUAUGACAGGCAUGCUCUUACAUUGACUUUUUCUGAUGAUUCUGAGCCUUCUCAACUUUACUGCGAUCUCUGCGAGAAAGAAAGCCAAAUUGUUGGUUUUACUACUGUGCUGAUUGUGAUAACUCUCUUCAUCUCAAUUGUGCUCUUGGGGAUCUCCCAUAUAUGAAGCUUGGGAACAAAAUCAAAGGUACAGGUCAUCGACAUCCACUCACUGUUGUGAAAAACAUCUGGAAUUGCCCUCCAUGUAAGGUAUGUGGUGAGGUUUGCAAUGGACAGGCCCUAGAAUGUAAAGAAUUUGAAUGCAACUUUACCGUCCAUUCGGUUUGCUGUUGGUUUCUCUAUGAAUCAUCUGAAUGAUAUUCCACUCAGUUUAAGAAACAGAGAAAGCACAAUACGAGAGGUGUGUUGUGUUGUGUGGAAGGGUGUAGCAGAUUUGGUAAAAAUGGGUGAUGGCCUUAGUUGUUGUAUUUUGCAUUAUGUUAUGUUUAUGAUAGUUGUUUGCGCAGUAGAAGGUUGUGAUAGAUGAAACAUGUAUCUGUAUCUUUCACUUUUUUAUUUGAUUCUUAUCCUUUCAACUUUUAUCUAAAAUUAUUGAUGAGAAGAAAAUAUUUUUAUUAUCUUUCUAUUCCUCCAUUCUUAAAAAUUGUGAGUGAAUGUUAAGACCAUGAAAUGUAUAAAUGGUUUCUUAAUUUUAUUUAUUUAUAAAUCUUAAAUUUAAAAUUUGAAGAUCGAAUUUGGUAUAUCUUAUUAUUUUUAAAAAGUGAAAAUAUAUGAAAUUUGUGAAAUAAAUUGAUCAAGAUUUUGUGAUCUUAAAUCAACCAGUCAUAAAAAAAAAUGUACGUCUGUUUUAGUUUUAGAAUUUAGAUUAAUUUUAUAUUACUUAAUCAGUAAACAUUUGUACUCCAUAUUCAAAAUAAUAUUAUUAUGCCUAAAUUCUAGAAAAUAAUUUUUUCUUUAUUUUAGAUUUUAUCCUAAAUUUUUUGAAUCUUCCACCAGAUUUUAUUGUAAUUUCAUUUUAAAGAUAAAUCAACAUUUUUCACAACUUAAAAAGGAAUAAAGUCAAUUUAAGCAAAAAAAUCCUUUUUUUUCCCUUUGCCCUCAAAAUAUCAAGAAAAACCCCCUUUCUUUUAUUUUGGAAAGAAAGAGAAACCUGUAGAGGGCUGGAGCUAUGCCUGCAAUCAAUGUCGGUUUUUUCUUCACAAGGGAUGUGCUGAGUUAGAGUUAUCCCCCAAGAUUCAGCAUCCCUUCCACCCUCUCACUCUUCUGCCAAAAUCACCUUAUUCUGGGGGCAUAACCGCGUGCAGUUUGUUUGGUAAGAAUUUUGAGGGAUUUGUUUAUAAUUGUUUUGAUUGUGAGUUCGAUCUGCACAUCACUUGUGCUUUGCUUCAAUCAUCCAUUGCUGCAAAUUUUCCUAAUUCUUUGCACCCCCAUCCUUUACACUUCAUUCAAAAUCAUAACAAGGAAGUCGAGCCUGAUUGCCCGGGGUGUCGGAAACCAAUAUCUGGUCCAUUUUACCACUGUUCAGAUUGCACUUGUCCUAAAUUGUUUUAACCUUCAUAAGGAAUGUGCUGAACUACCCCUUGAGAUUAAUCACCCCUGUGACCGUAAGCAUCCUCUUACUCUCUUGUCACAACCGCCUACUCAUCCCAAGAAAUGUAGUUGCUAUUUGUGCAGAAUCUAUGCAACUUUGAUCUUUCACUUGAUAGUUUUCUUUUUUCACCACCAAAAAUCACAGUUGCAAGUCAUGAACACGCGUGGAUGCUUGUAUCUAGAAAAAUGUGGUUUGUUUGUGAUUUUUGUGGCACUGACGGAGAUCACUCCCCCUAUUUGUACCCUAAACUUAAACUUUGCCCUCGCACUACCCAGUUCAAUCUAGGCUUAAUAUAAAAAUUGCCCCCUAAAUUAUAUUCAUUUUCUCAGAUAGGUAUCUAAACCAUUUUUUUGUCAAAUUGAGUACUUAAAGUAAUUUUUUCCCGCAUUGGUACGCUGUUGCCUGUUAGUUCUCCCUUAGUCAACCAUUAGUCAACAUUGUUCGAUGUUCAAUGAUGAUGUGGCCCAAUAAGUAAUAAGCACGUGGAAAAAAAGCCACAUAAGUAAACCAUCUCAUUCUUUGUAUAAAAAAAGCCACAUAAGUAAAUCAUCUCAUAAUUAAAAAUAAUAUUAAGAAAUAUUUUCACACCCUGUUACUCUCCCACAGUCCCCUACCAUCCUCACCCAACCCUUUCCCUCUGCUAACCCUUCAAUUAUAUUUUCAUAAAAAAAAAAAUCCUCCUUUUUUUCUUCAACAUUGAUUCUUUGUCUCACAAUUCCAUUUAAAUCCAUCCACCACAUGUUUGGGAAAAUGACCCUCAAAAAAAUAGAUUUUAAGCCUGAAAUUGGUGUUUUCCUUUUCAUGUAUUGGAUUUGCUUUCUUAUAGUAGGAUUAUAAGUUUGUGGGUGAAGGUUUUGUAUUUGUUAGUUUGGUUUAGUGGACUCUUAAUUUUAUUUAUGGCCUUCUUCCAAUUCGGAAUUUUGUUUGUACUCUGAAUCUCUAAAGUGCAAAUAACCAAAUUAAGCAUCUUUAAUGUACCAAUUGGUUUGUGUCUUUUACAGAAAAAUAAAUUUUCUAAUUUUUUUUUAUUUUGCCACAUGCCUAUUAGUGAUUGAGCCACAUCAUCAUUGACUAAGUUGAUUAAUGGUUGACUAACGAAGGACUAACGAGGUACAAACGUAAGAAAAAAUAUGGUUUAGAUACUCAAAUUGAUCAAAAAAGUGUUUAGGUAAUUAUUUAAGCAAAUGAGUAUAUUUUAAAGGACAAUUUUAAUAUUAAGCCUUCAACCUAUAAAUAGAUUUAUUUAUAAUUGAUUUAAUUUAAUAUGAUCUAAUUCAAAUUAAUUGUAAAACACAUUUAAUGACUUAAUUUUUAGUCACAAAUGAUAAACUUCUACAACAUAGUUUUUUAGUUCAAAUUGGUACUUUCAAAUAACUAAGUAUUAAUUUAGAUAAUAAAAAAUCAAAUUCGGGUAUUAAUUUAAAUCAAGAAGCUAAGUUUAGGUACUUAAUUUGACCAAAAUACCAAAUGGAACUUUGAAUUCAUGUUCAAGUACCUAAUUGGAAAAACAAAACCUUAGGUAUCAAUUUGAACUCUGAAGCUAAGUUCAAGUAUCAAAAUAUAUAUUUCCCUUACUUUUCCAAUCAAUAAUAAUUCUAGUGAUUAUGUUGAAAGUAAACCUUAAUUUUUGGUCACCGACAACCACAAUCCUUUUUGCAUUAUUUCUCAAUUUUUAGUUCAUAAACGAUCAAGAAUACCUUUUUUUUAUAGUGAUUAUGUUGUGAUUUCCUAUAAAAUUCUCUUUUUAUUUGCAAGGAAUCUACAACUCUAGUGUGAAUCAGGGACAUUGUCUUUGAUCGCAGGGUGUUCGCCGAAAUGCUUGACACAAGCAUGCCGGCGUGGGAAGCUAUCAGCUCUGAUGAACUUAAAUCCCACCGCCUCUUCCAUAGGCGCCAACAUAUGAAUAACUAUUCCUAAAACGAGGUCAGCCAUGCCAAUUCCAUUAAAAAGAGGCCUAAGCUAAGCUACCAAGCAAAGAGGAAGAAGAAAAGAUGGUUUCAGGGUGAGGCAUGGGCUCCAAAAGGGUAGCGGUGGAUGCAAGGCAUCACAUGCUGGGAAGGUUGGCUUCCAGAUUGGCAUGGUCUCAUCCAGUUUCCUGCUCCUCUAACACCCUCUGGCGUACCAUUCGUGGGUGCGUUUUUCUUUUCGAGAGUUUUUUUUCCCUUUUAGUGUGUUUUCGUAGUUCUUUAUUUGGUCUGUGAAGGAAAAGGAUGGAAAUUUCUGGGCUUUUGAUGCUUGGUAAUUUAGGAAGCCUUUAUUAUAAACUUUUUGAGAGAUUUUUUCUAUUUAUUUGAAGUUCUAUGAUUUGGAUAUUGGAAUAUAUAUUGCAAAAGAACCAAAGGAAUCUGUGUGUUUAGUUAUGUUUGAUAUCAAAAUUAAUAAUGAGAGUUUGCUAUUGAUUUUUCUUAUUAGAGAUCCGUGUGUUUGUUAUAGUUGGUUAUUGGUAAAAUGUAGGGACGAAGUGAAAGAGAGUAGAAUGAGUGUGCUUGAGGUUAUUAUUGUUGGAUUGAGAGAAAACUAAUAGCUGACAAGGUCUAUGAAUCUUAUGGUGCAAAGGCAAUGCGUUUGGCUUCAGCAUAUAUGUAGUGAAGUAUAUAACUGGGCUUCAUUUUGACUUUUCUUAUGGUAAUUGAUAGUUGUUUUGAUUGCAGGAUGAUUCCUCGCAAAGACUAAGGACGGAGUGGCAGCUUUCGCUGGUUUGAAAUUGAAGGCUAAUGAGGGGAUUCCUGCACCAUAUGAUAAGACUAAGAGAAUGGUUAUUCCUGAUGCUCUCAAGUUUUGCAGUAGUUGGUUUCUUUCGCGGAAUUUAGAAUUUGGUUUUCUUACUUGCUUCUGUGGAUAGUUAGUCAUGCUCAAUGUUUUUAUUGUUCUUUCGGUUUUUUUAAAUUAGGGUUUUGAGGUUUCAGAAAGGAGACAAAUUGGUGGAGAAAAUAGCAUUACCCUGGAGUAAAUAUGAAAUAUAACAUUGAACGCUUUUAUGUAGGUUAUCCAACACGCUGAAUGCUUAGGACUUGGUUUGGAGCUUUAGGAACUACUGAUUAAGAAGUUUAUGAAGACAUCAAAAGAGUCAUUUCAUUGGUUUGGCAGUUCUAGGACUUGGUUGUCCUUUACUCAGAGCCAGAGCAGGUAGGUUCUGUUUUUACUCGGCUGUUUGUGAUUGAUGUUUGUUGCACCUUUUCCCCUCUCUUUUUGUAACUGUAUUGUAGCUUUGGGUCAGUGGUUGGGCUAUGAAUUUAUGAAUAUCAAACUGUUGUGUCUGGUCAACAUUGCAGACUCCUCGAAUUGUCUCCUUACCAUCUGAGUCUUACAACCUACCAAGACAACACCGAACCAAACCUUCCGCAUACAGAAGAAAAACAUUCCUUGCAAUAAAAUUAAAACUGAUACAAAAACCACAACAUCCCAAAACACCUCAAAAAGAUAACCACGACGACACUUGCAUACACCACAGCUCAUGACACAAAUCGAAAAAGAGCUCAACUUCAAGACAUCAUCUCAUGUUAUCAAUUUGUGAGCAUCCCUUAGAAACUAAAUAAACACCAUAAAAGACGCAUCCAACAAAUUGGCAGCAAUGCAGUAACAGCAAACCUAUUGCCUCUGUGAGUCUUUAAUUACAACCCCAAAUAUCAUAUACCAAAGCAAGGAGCAACAUCAAAACCUUCAUAAUUAAACACUCUUGAAAAGUUGCCUACACACCCUUUUUACUCAUCCUUAGGUUAAAACAUGUUCUUAUCACCCCUAAACACCACCAGUCCAAAUCAUAUCUUACUCGAGUUGAAAAACCUCCUGGUUGAAGAGAAGACAAUCGAAAUCAUCCUUAACCCACAAACCCUUAUCCAACAUCGAUCAAGAGGACACUGAACAUGAUUCCAUAAUAAGCUUGUUAAAAUCCCUCAAGAAAGGAAAGCUGGAUCAGCAGCAUUCAACAGUGGUCCUCAUCAGUUAUGGCGGUCAAUGAUGAACCUCAGCCCCCUGAGCCUUUCGAGUUCACAUCCUGAUUUCGCUUGGAUUUCAUUUCGAUGAUAGUUUUUAGAGAUGACUUGUGUUCCGUCACAUUCUUUUGUUCAGGAGUUCUCUACUAAUCAGUUACAUUCUUUCUUAUGUGCUUUCUAUUUGUACGGAAAAUCUUGUCAUAUACAUGCUCAACCAUUAGGGAAUUCAAUUUUGUUGCUGAUACGAACUCGGUUGCAUCAUGUUACGACACAACUGGACGGCAUCGGCAUUGGCCCAAACACGAGGGUCCCAAGUGCAAAAUGAAGUGUUAAUUCGAGUUUGUUAAUUUGGUUGCUGGAAAAAAUGAGGAUGACUAUUACUUCUAGAUUUCUUAGCUAUAGUUUAAUUGCUGGAAUAAAAGUUAAUUCGGUUUUAGUUAAUUAGUUAAUUAAUUAGUUAAGUUCCAUAAAUAUGUCAUGGUUUAAACAUCAAUAAUUAGAAUUUAAAUUUGUCAAAAAAUAUGGACAUUUUAAAUGUGUUUUAAGUUCAUUAAUUCUGUCCAAAAUUCAUACUGCUUUAAUAUGAGAUUUAACUUGGUCUUAGUUUAGAACAAAUUAAAUAGGUCUUAAUUUAGACAACUUAAUUGUGACUCACUUCCAGACCAAUUAAUUGUGUCUAACAUUCAGCUUUUAUGUUGCAUUAAACCGAUCUUUAAAUAUGUUUUGUAGGUUGGCUGAAUAGGCUGCCCAUCAACCAAUACAUUGGACGGCAUUAAAGGGACAGCAUGCACCUGGACGUACAUGCACCUAGCACCUGCUGUUUGCUCUCCUCCAAGCAUCUCCUCGUGGAAGCAAUAGCCAAGAGUGUCCCAAUUUGUUUCAUCAGCUGAUUAAUUCGGUUCACACAUAAUUGUCCAGCCAAUUCGAGCCAUUCACACCUAGUUGACCAUUCAUUGCCGGCUUUUCACCUUUGAUGGCUGUCCAUGCGCCACCAACAGUCACAAUUUAAUUAAAGCUUGUUUGGCUGCCCAAGGGAGGUUAAUGCAUGUUCAUUCAACUUAGCUGAUAAGGAACUUGUUAGAUUCAGCUAAUUUUCUAAAUACAUUUAGCUGACCAUUCGAGAACAGCAAAGGUUAAGGAUGUCGGCGUGUCCAAUGAUUGGAUGCAUUCAUUUGCUGACUCAAUUACUCCAGCUCAAGAACCGAAUUUAUCCAGAUGAAUUACUCAGCUAUUUCGUCAGUCCAUGGCUGUUACUCCAGCUCAAGAACCGAAUUUAUCCAGAUGAAUGCUCAGCAAUUAAGUCAGUCCAUGACUGUUCGGGCAUAGCAAGAGCCAGCUGAUCAUUAAGCUAAACAUUGGAUAAUUUCAACUGGAAUUUAAGUUAACAUUUGUGUUUAAUUAAUUGUUAUAAAUUGAGGCUAUUCGGCUGGACCUAUGUGAGCUUAUAAAUAGCUUAUUGUAAACCGUUUAGAAGGUUACUUAACUUUGAAAUUUUAUGAAUAUUAAGCCUUGAGUUAUUCAACUCUUGUAAGAGUUGUUCGUUUGAGACUCGAUUGACUUAUCUAGCUCCGUCUAGUGGCGUCAACCCGAUUCUUGUUUGAACUUAUCACUUCCAGCAAGUGUGGCGUUCAUCCUAUACCGUAGGUUCCUAUCUCUUUAGAUAGUGGGUCUCGGUUUACUAUCUUUUUAUCCAAUUUCAUUUCCAAGUGUUGAUAUAAAAAUUGGGUCGAUAUUCACCUUUAAUAUCGGUCCAUUCUUCAAACUUGUUUUACCCAAACUUAGCAGAAACUAUCACAUAUUAACCUUUACAAAUAUACCAACUUAAAAGCCUUCUUGUUUCAGCCUUCAAAUACGAUACUUCUCAAUUUACGAUCGGAAAACUUAGCAACACGUAAUCAACUCCAAGCACGGGUUCGCAUCAGUUGCCUAAUUUCUUUUCAUUGAUGCUUUGCUCUCAAUUCUUUUCACAUUUUUUUCAAAUCAUAUAUAUAGGUUAAAACUAUGUGGCAUAGCUUUUAAAUCACUAUUUAUUAUGAUAAUAAUAUUUCACAUGUUGAUUAUAUUUAAAAAAAUUAAUUCAAAGUAAAUUCCUUAUAAAUAUUGUCAUGUAAUUUUUGAUGCUCUAAAUGUUGAUAUGCAUGAAUAUAUUAAAUAUACACUAAAAAUAUAAUAUUAAAAUUAAUUAUAAGAAAUAUAAACUAUAAAGCAAAUUGAAGCAAAUAUUUAGUAAAAAUUUGAACUUAAAAUAUAUAUUUAAAACUUAAAACAUAUUAUUAAAGACGCAUUUUAAUAAAGAUUGAUUAAAUUAAAUAUAUUUCAAAUUCUUAAUUAAUUUAAACAAAACUCAAUUAUUAAAAACAAAUUAUUAUCUUUUUCAAACUCUAACAAAUUUAUGGGAAAAUUGAAUGUUCCAUAUUAUUAUCCUUAGAAUGGAAAUGCUGGGGUAUUAUGGGAAAAGAAAUAUUGACAAAUAUGCUCACAAGUCAACGACGAAAAUGAUUCUUCUCUUUUAAGGACAAAAGCAAGACCUAAGAAAGUAUACCACAAAGGGUGGCGUAAAGUGAAGCUAACUCAAGGGUUUUCUUGUAAUGGAUGCGAGUGAGUGUGAGAGUAGGACAGAAGGGGAGACCAUGGAACUUCAACAUUUCAGUCAUCCACAUCCUUUGGUCUCCUUUAAAUAUCAGACUGUUGCACGCGAAGAAGUAGACACAGAAGCAGCUCUUUGCCUUGGGUGUGAGAAACCUGUAGAGGGCUGGAGCUAUGGCUGCAAUCAAUGCGAGUUUUAUCUUCAUAAGGGAUGUGCUGAGUUAGAGUUAGCCCCCAAGAUUCAGCAUCCAUUCCACCCCAAACAUCCUCUCACUCUUCUGCCAAAAUCACCUUAUCCUGGGG